GCGGCGUGCUCGUGCCAUGUGCCUGUCAGUUCUGCAAGCAUUUGUUGGAUGUGAAGGUUGGUGUGAUGACCACGCUGCCCACAACAGGCAAAAGGGUGCGGACAGCUGAGGCUCCUCACUUCCCGCUCCAAAGCUCAGAACCUCCCUUCCCUCCUGGAUCCAACAGAAGCAGCGGCCGCUGCUGCCUGUGCCUCUCAAACUUGUCACCCACGGAUGCUGGGAAAAAUGCACAUAAAAUGACUGGAUGGAGAUGACCCAGGAAGGGGCCCUGUUGCCCAGGAAAUGGGCUUGUCCUGAACCACAGCUUGAAGGAGAGCCACCGACUGAUCAGGAAUACCCAACUGGACUUUAUUCCAGCAACAUACAAAGCAUUACUGUGCUGGGCCAUGGUAUAUUAUUGGGUUUCUUUUAUUAGAACACUUGGCAUUACCUUCACUAAUAUACACUCAUCAUAGUAGACAUUUUCACUAGUUAUAGAUGAUAUGCACUAUUUUCCCUUCUGAAACAGAAAUUUGCAGCAGCACUGCCAAAGGACAAUAGAUUUUUAAAAAUCAUAGAAUGACUGGAG
rnacentral:lncRNA from 1 species